ensembl:lncRNA
CAAUCAAGAUGUAUUUGCUCAUGACCUAAAGUACGUGUACAAGACUGAAAAGCACAUGCACGCAAUGAAUGCAUACCAACGCAGUCUUGCAGGUGUUCACGUGGUUUUGCACAUGUGCCAGGUGAAAUUUCAAUUGCACCACUGACACUCUAAAAACUCGGGUAAAUAAUACUUUCCUGUGGAUAUUUUGUUUCAAAUGUUGCCCAGCUGAAAUACCAACCGGUACAUUCAAAUGAAAUGUUAUUCAACAUUCUGGCAGAGUUUUGUUUGACUUUAACAAUAAUUUGUAUCAUAGUCUGUCUGAUUAGGCAACCUCCCCCUAUCUGUCAGUCAGUUGCAGACGCGCUGCCUCCCCCUCAUGUUGCCGACUGACUGGAAAUAGAAACAUAAAUAUACACACCGAUAACUAACAACUUAACGCAGCCGGUCACUGAGGGGCAUGAGAGCCUUGUUGGAGGCCAGCGCUUUUGCUUGCCGGACCCAGUGCUGGUGACGGGGACAUGGGCCUCUUCCUCAGGGCUUCCAGCACGACCCAGCUCCACACAAGCCAGAGCCUCAGCCACCAACUGGUCCAGCACCACCCAGACACCAACGGCAGCAGCACGCAGAGGGACCCCGCCUCAGUGGGUCUCGCCCUUCUCUUCGGCGCUACCACUGACCUGCAGGCCAAGCACCGCAGCCGGUCUCGAGCUCUUGGUAGACGAAGCUCCAAGUAGCCUUCUCUAAUGAGGAUGUCUGAUACUGUCACUGUAAAGGAGACUAGCGCCACUAUGAGAGGUGUGGAGACGGAGGAGAGCCACCAUGCCAGUGCCACACCGACACCAGCGGGGGGAGAAGAACCAAGCCCGACCAAGACAAACGGCAGGGAGCAGGCAGAGACCCCGCCACAGGCCAAAGCUCAAACCCAGCUCCAACCCGAGAUUCAACCAGAGAGCUGCUGCCAAGACAAGAACGAAACUCUGGAUGAAGUUGAGAUCCAGGUCUCCCAGUCAUUUGACAAAGAGGAGGUGCCACCCAUCAAGGAUGAGGAGGACAAAGGUGUGGAGAAGCUGCUAGAGAAGACUGAGAGGAUGCCCAGGAAGAUGCUGUCCAGAGAUUCCAGUCAGGAGUACACAGAUUCUACCGGGAUCGAUAUCCAUGAAUUCUUAGUAAACACAUUGAAAAACAACCCCAGGGACAGAAUGAUGCUGCUGAAGUUGGAACAGGACAUUCUCGACUUUAUCAGUAAUAACGAAAGCCAGAAGAGAAAGUUCCCUCCAAUGACCUCCUACCACAGAAUGCUGCUGCACCGCGUCGCCGCCUACUUCGGCCUAGACCACAACGUCGACCAAACCGGGAAAUCUGUAAUCAUCAACAAAACUAGCAAUACAAGAAUCCCUGAUCAAAAGUUUUCAGAACACAUCAAAGACGACAAAACUGACGACUUCCAAAAGCGCUACAUUCUCAAAAGGGACAACUCCGGCUCAGACAAAGAUGACAACAUGAUGCGAAUGCGGCUGAAGGACGACCGGAGGAGUAAGUCUAUAGAGGAACGAGAGGAGGAGUACCAGAGGGCCAGAGACAGGAUAUUUGCUCAAGAUCUUAUUUUAUUCCAGGGUCCAGAUGGCUUGGCUCUUGAAAAAAGGAAACAGGAGGAUGAUGCUUGUAACAGUACACAGCAAAGGCGGCAAAUGUUUAGGUUAAAAGAUGGCCACCCGGCCAACAGUCGCCAGAGCAGCUCUGAGAACGAACCCAAGUACUCUGACCCUCGGCCGUGGAGCAGCACAGACUCUGACAGCUCCAACCGUAACCUGAGGCCAGCCAUGACCAAGGCCAGCAGCUUCAGCGGCAUCUCUGUCCUCAUCAGGGGAGACAGUUCGGGCAGCAGCAAGAGCAUGGGUCGCCUCUCUAAGACUGGUUCACUAGAGUCUUCUAGUAGUGUAGGGUCCUCCACGGGUUCGCUCUCUCGCUCCCAGCUGCCCCUCACCGUCCCAGCUCUAACCCAGGCUGGCCACCCUCACAACCACGCCGUGCCCCCCUGCCCAGUGGCUUACCCAGCCACCUGCACUAGUAGUACUGUGACUUAUGAGGCGGGAGGCAGGAGCGGCCCGGUGCCGCCACCACCAGCAAAUACAGCUAACACUAGCUACUAUUUGCUUCCCCUGGAAGCCAUAGGGAUACCGCCAGGGAGUAUCCUGGUCAACCCACACACAGGCCAGCCCUUUGUGAACCCGGAUGGCAGUGCUGUGGUAUACAACCCCAACCACAGCAUGGCUCCUCAGCAUCAACAUCAUCAGCAUCAUAAUCAGCAGGGCAGGACCCAGCAGCCCAUGCUCCCUCCUCCACACCCUCCUGGCCGCCACCAACACCAGCCCACCAAUCACAACCACUCUGUUCUAUCCCUUCCUCAGCCGGUCCGGCCCCUCCAGCCUUCUGCUCAGCCUGUCCAGUACUCAUCUGUCUCUUACCCACCUCAGCUGCUCUCCGUCUCCCCUAACCAACAAUACACUGUGCAAAACAACCUGGGAGCCCAGUUCAGCCACAUGAGCUUGGCCCGGCAGGUCUCUGGAGAGGGCCCAGGUCGGGACACCCACAUUGCCAUGUACCCCUCCUCCGUCGUGCUUCAGACCCCCCCUCAGCAGCAGGGCUACAUGGUGGCCCCUCCAGUCCAGCACGUCCCGGCACCCCAGGCCUACAACAACCCCGCCCCUCCACCUGUCAACCAGCCGGUCAUGCAGCAACAGGGCUACAUGCAGCAGCAGGUAAUGCCAGCAUGUUACUGUGCGCCAGGCCAGUACCCCCUGUCCAACCAGCAGUACAGGCCUGUGGGCACAGUGCAGUUCAGCGCCCCACAGAGUCAGCCAAUGCCCCCGCCCACACAACAGACAGGUUACCAAACUGUGAUGCCAAAUCAGCCACAGAGCUAUCAGAGUAUGAUUGGAGUGCCACAUAGUCAGAACACUGUCAGUGGCCUGCAUAGCAAUAUGGGAAAUCAGAUGCAAGGCAUGAUGGUCCAGUAUCCCUCCAUGCCAUCUUAUCAGGUAUCCAUGCAGCCCCAAGGCUCACAGGGUGUGCCACAGCAGACAUAUCAGCAGCCUAUCAUCAACCACAACCAGUCCAACCAGGGGCCCAUGCCUGGUUCUGGUGUCCAGAUCUACUACAGUGUUAUCACACCCAAUCAACAGAACACCAUGAGCUCCUCUGUUGGGUUCUUGCCUCCUCCUGGAUCAGAGCAGAUGCAGUUCCCUCGGCCGUCCUCCCCCUGCAGCUCCCAGCAGCCCCUCCAUCAGGCACAGCAGUGUGUUCCCCCUCCCCCAGGCGGUGGGAUGGUGAUGAUGCAGCUGACGUUGCCCCCCGGCCAGCAACCACGGCCUCACUCGCCCCCCCAGUGGAAACACAGCAAGUACUACAGUCUGGACCACACGAGACGACAAAAGUCCACAGAGCUCUCCACCCUAGACACCUCACAGAGCAUUCCCCAGCUGGGCAGUCCCUCAACUUCCCCCGCCCAGUCGCCAACUCCCUCCCACCCACACCACCUAACCAAUGUGAAGAGCAUCCGUCCAGGCCUCGCCCCCGUACCCAUGAUGCCCCAGUUCUCCAGACCCUUUAUGCCAGGGCAAGGAGAUGCGCGGUACCCGUUACUAGGGCAGCCCCUCCAGUACAACCCCCAGAUCCGUCCUCCUCUCCACGCUCCACCCAUGGUACCCAUGGGGAUGCGGCACAGCGGUGGAGGGGGCAGAGGGAGGAAGCAGACAAGGAAAGCUCUGUCUACAGAUCUCAGUGUAGGUGAUCCAGUGAGUGGGCAAGUCCUGGAGGUGACUGACCUGCCGGGAGAGAUCAGCAGGACCGAGGCGGACUCUCUGCUAGGUGAGCUCUCCAGAGCCCGGGCUGUAGUCGGAUGGCUCCCAGAGCACCACACCCCUGCUGACCCAGCCUUCGUCUACACCAUCCUGGCCAUGUUCCCUUCCGGAUACACUGCGCAGGACGCCCUCCUCCACCACAAUGGCCCCCAAGCCUCCUUCAGACUCACUGUGAGCAGGGGCCACAGACACCCCCUGGAGAGGGCCAGCUCCCAGUAG